rnacentral:rRNA from 1 species
CCUACGGGAGGCAGCAGUGGGGAAUAUUGCACAAUGGGCGCAAGCCUGAUGCAGCAACGCCGCGUGAGGGACGACGGCCUUCGGGUUGUAAACCUCUUUUAGUAGGGAAGAAGCGAAAGUGACGGUACCUGCAGAAAAAGCACCGGCUAACUACGUGCCAGCAGCCGCGGUAAUACGUAGGGUGCAAGCGUUAUCCGGAAUUAUUGGGCGUAAAGAGCUCGUAGGCGGUUUGUCGCGUCUGCUGUGAAAACUGGAGGCUCAACCUCCAGCCUGCAGUGGGUACGGGCAAACUAGAGUGCGGUAGGGGAGAUUGGAAUUCCUGGUGUAGCGGUGGAAUGCGCAGAUAUCAGGAGGAACACCGAUGGCGAAGGCAGAUCUCUGGGCCGUAACUGACGCUGAGGAGCGAAAGCAUGGGGAGCGAACAGGAUUAGAUACCCUGGUAGUCCAUGCCGUAAACGUUGGGCGCUAGAUGUGGGGACCAUUCCACGGUUUCCGUGUCGCAGCUAACGCAUUAAGCGCCCCGCCUGGGGAGUACGGCCGCAAGGCUAAAAACUCAAAAUGAAUUGACGG